GUCGAACGCUGGCGGCGUGCUUAACACAUGCAAGUCGAACGGAAAGGCCCUGCUUUUGUGGGGUGCUCGAGUGGCGAACGGGUGAGUAACACGUGAGUAACCUGCCCUUGACUUUGGGAUAACUUCAGGAAACUGGGGCUAAUACCGGAUAGGAGCUCCUGCUGCAUGGUGGGGGUUGGAAAGUGUCGGCGGUUGGGGAGGGGCUCGCGGCUUAUCAGCUUGUUGGUGGGGUAGUGGCUUACCAAGGCUUUGACGGGUAGCCGGCCUGAGAGGGUGACCGGCCACAUUGGGACUGAGAUACGGCCCAGACUCCUACGGGAGGCAGCAGUGGGGAAUAUUGCACAAUGGGCGGAAGCCUGAUGCAGCAACGCCGCGUGCGGGAUGACGGCCUUCGGGUUGUAAACCGCUUUCGCCUGUGACGAAGCGUGAGUGACGGUAAUGUGUAAAGAAGCACCGGCUAACUACGUG
rnacentral:rRNA from 1 species